rnacentral:ncRNA from 1 species
GUACAGGCGUAAGUUUCAGAAAAUCUAUAUUAUCGACCUUGAUUAACUUAGACCGUCCACACUCCAGCAUCCCCUUAAAUGUGAGAUCUCUGACUUUCUUGAACUAUGAAGUCACGGGUAUCUCGGAUCAGAGUGCCAAGUGGGUCAUUUUUGGUAAGCAGAACUGGCGCUGUGGGAUGAACCAAACGCAGAGUUAAGGCGCCCAACU